AUGUUGUCCCACCCUGCACCCUACUCUGAGAGCAUCCCUGUCACCCUGCUUGUCACCAGGCCCCUGACACUGUCGUCAGUCCUGAGCUGCUGCCUGGAUGUUGCCAUCCAUCCCUGCAGGAUGUCAGUUUUUGUCCCAAUGAAGGUACAGUGCCAUUCCAUGGAGGUGGGCUGGAGCUCUGUGGGGGAUGGUGUGGGACAGGGACCCCACUCUGAGGUUUGGCUCCCUGUGCAGGCUGCCACAGACACUGAGGAGAUGGAGGUGGACAUUAAGAUAGACGUGGAGGAAAACAUUGAAGCAGAUGUAGACAAUGGAGAGGAAGAGAUGGAGGUGGACAUUAAGAUAGACGUGGAGGAAAACAUUGAAGCAGAUGUAGACAAUGGAGAGGAAGAGAUGGAGGUGGAGCUGGAGCUGGGGGUGGAGGAGAUGGAGGAAGAGAUGUAUGAAGGGAUGGAUGUGGAUGUGGAGGAGAUGGAGGAAGAGAUGGAGGUGGAAAUGGAGGAUUAUGCUGAAGACAUGGAAGUGGAUGAGAAAGGUGAGCAGGAGGACAUUGUGCUGGGAUGGACACCAACCCCAGGCAGGUGCUGGCCAUGCCCUGCCCGCAGGCAGAGUGGGUCCCCUGCUGCCAGGCUGGGGCUGGGCUGGUGGCCAGGGGACAGGGGUCAGGGACACGGUGCCUGGGGGUGGCCCUGGGUUCUGGUGGCACGAGCAGCACCCCUAGCCUGCCCUGUGCUUGCUUUGGGCCAUGCUUUGGGUGCCACGGCUGGGGGCAGCCCCCAGCCCCAGCCAGGGCAGUGCUGGCAGCAGAGUCCUGCUGUGCCAGCGUGUGCCAGCCUGGGGGCACAGGGAACAGCCCUCUGUGCCUGACUGCAGUGACCCUGUCCUUGCUUUUCUUCCAGGACCCAUGGAGAUGCCAGGCAGGGAUGCCACCCAUCUGGAUAUAUGUAGAGUGUUCUUCAGUACUCUUCUGUAUAUACAUUUUAGAGAGCAUUGUUGUCUUUUGUAAGUAUGUUUAAUACAUAGUUGUUAUAUAGGUUCUUGGGUAAAUAUGUUUUAUAUUUUAUUGUUGUUAUAGAGUUCAUUACCAUUUAAAUAUAUGGUGUAGUUCACUGCUGUUUCUGCUUUUCUGCAAAUAAACUAUCUUUUUUUUUUCACACCCCAGCCCUCUUUCCAUUUGCUUUGGGCACAGGCAGCAUGUGCAGAGUUGUGGUUUCCUCUUGCUGUGGGUUCCCUGGGCUGGAGAUGUCUGGGCAUGCAGGGUUGGGGGUCCCUGUGCACAGAGCAGGUCCCACUUAGAGCUCUGUACACACUUGGGAUUUGUAGAGGCAGAUCCCACAGGGCCCUUUCCCACGGAUUACAUCUGGGAGCAGGGCCGAGCCUGCUGGGUCCUGCAGAGCCUCCUCAGUGACACUUCACUAGAUGGCACCAGACACCAGUGCUAGGAGGGUGAGGCUGGGCUGUGGGCACCCCCUUCUCUUCUCCUGGGCACCCCGAGCAGCUGGAGCCAGCCUGGAGCUCAGGGGAGAUUCCUGGGCAAAGAGCUGGGCAGGGAUGGAUGGAUGGAUGGAUGGAUGGAUGGAUGGAUGGAUGGAUGGAUGGAUGGAUGGAUGGAUGGAUGGAUGGAUGGAUGGAUGGAUGGAUGGAUGG
rnacentral:lncRNA from 1 species